AUGUGGAAUUUGUCUCAAGCUCUAGAAGAAAUCAAUUGGGAAGAGGGAAUUCAGUCUGAUCCUGGCAAAAGGAGAAGCAUAGAUGAGUAUCCUCCUAAUCUAAGGGAUGUGGUAAGAAGAAAAUAUUUGGCUAAGCCUCUUUGUCAACCUCGUAGUUAUAAUUUUAAAACUACAACUAUUGGUGGUCGAGAGAGAAAGUUUAAUCCUGAUUGGUUUGAUGAGUUUGGGAGCUGGGCGCCGUGAUAAGAAAGAAGCUGGAUAUGCAGCAUUUGUUGCAAAGGGUUGGUCAGGCUGGAACAAAAAACAUAGACUAAAUGAUCAUGUCAGAGAUGUCAACAGUGUUCACAACCAAGCAAAAAGAGAUUGUGAUGCUUUAUUGCAACAAGACCAGCACAUUUAUGUUGCUUUCAAUAAUCAAAGCAAUGCUGCGAAGAAGGCGCAUUAUACUAGACUAAAUGCCUCAAUUGAUGUUACUAGAGUUCUAUUGCAGCAAGGGUUACCUUUUCGCGGCCAUGACGAGUCAGAGGAGUCCUUUAAUAAAGGAAAUUUUAAGGAAUUUUAUGCUUAUACAGCACAGCAAAAUCCAGAACUACGCAAGGUUGCAGGCCCUAAUGCUCCAGGUAAUAAUAAGUUGACUUCUUCAAUGAUCCAGAAGGACAUAGCUGAAUGUUUUGCAAAGCAAAUAUUGCAUUCUAUUCUAGAAGAAAUUGGAGAUGGUGUAUUUUCUUUGCUAGUUGAUGAAUCAAGGGAUGUGGCUGGUAAAGAACAGAUGGCUGUGGUCUUGAGAUAUGCUGGUAAAUGCGGAAGUGCGAAAGAGAGUUUAGUUGGCCUUGUUCAUGUGAAGGAGACAACUUCAAAGUACCUCAAGUCUGCUAUUGAUGAUUUAUUUGCAGAACUUAGCUUAAGUCUCAAGUAG
rnacentral:rRNA from 1 species